UACGUAGGGGGCGAGCGUUGUCCGGAGUUACUGGGCGUAAAGGGCACGCAGGCGGUGCGACGCGUUUCGCGUGACAGCGGGCGGCUUAACUGCCCGAGGAUGCGAAAGACGGUCGUACUGGAGGGCCAGAGAGGGACACGGAAUUCCGGGUGGAGUGGUGAAAUGCGUAGAGAUCCGGAGGAACACCGAAGGCGAAGGCAGUGUCCUGGCUGGUCGCUGACGCUGAGGUGCGAAAGCCAGGGGAGCGAAC
rnacentral:rRNA from 1 species